GUCAGGUAGAGCGGGGGAGAGAUAGGGGCCAGGUAGAGUGGGGGAGAUAUAGGGGCCAGGUAGAGCGGGGGAGAGAUAUGGGAGAGAUAGAGAGGGGGAGAGAUAGGGGAGAGGUAGAGCGGGGGAGAGAUAAGGGAGAGGUAGAGUAAGGGAGAGAUAGGCGAGCGGGGGAGAAAUAGGGGAGAGGUAGAGCGGGGGACAGAUAGGGGACAGGUAGAGUGAGGGAGAGAUAGGGGAGAGGACGAGCGGGGGAGAGAUAGGGGAGUGGUAGAGCGGGGGAGAGAUAGGUGAGAACUAGAGUGAGGGAGAGAUAGGGAGAGGACGAGCGGGGGAGAGAUAGGGAGGUGGAGAGCGGGGGAGAGAUAGGGGCGAGGUAGAGCGGGGGAGAGAUAGGGGCCAGGUAGAGCGGGGGAGAGAUAGGGGCCAGGUAGAGUGAGGGAGAGAUAGGGGAGAGGGCGAGUGGGGGAGUGAUAGGGGAGAGGUAGAGCGGGGGGAGAGGUAGAGCGCGGGAGAGAUAGAGUGAGGGAGAGAUAGAGGAGAGGUAGAGCGGGGUGAGAUAAGGGAGAGGUAGAGUGAGGGAGAGAUAGGGGAGAGGUAGAGUGGGGGAGAGAUAGGGGAGAGGUAGAGUGAGGGAGAGAUAGGGUAGUGGGUGAGCGGGGGAGAGAUAGGGGCCAGGUAGAGCGGGCGAGAGAUAGGGGGGAGAUAAAGUGAGGGAGUGAUAGAGGCCAGGUAGAGCGGGGGAGCGAUAGGGGAGAUGUAGUGCUGGGAAGAGGUAGAGUGAGGGAGAGAUAGGGGCCAGGUAGAGCGGGCGAGAGACAGGGGAGAGGUGGAGCGGGGGAGAGAUAGUGGAGAGGGCAUGCGGGGGAGAGAUAGAGAAAGUGAGAAAAGAAAGUGGGAGACUGAUGAGUGGAGGGAAAGUGAGGGAGAGAUGAAUGAAAUCCAUUUAUCUUCUCUGUCAUUAGCCC
ensembl:lncRNA